GUUUUUUUCCUGAAAAUUUUUUAUUAGUUAAUAUAUUUGCACUUUUAUUCAUAUAUAUUUGCAUGUAUAAUUAUAUAUUUAUAAAAAUAUAACUUAUUCAUAAUUAUAAUUUUUCUAGUACCUUGACAUAUAUAACGUUGUCAUCAUAUAAAUAUAAUCAACUAUUUAUUUAACUUUUUAUAGUUGAAUUUAAAUUUAUGUUUUCCAUGCUUCGCUAAAAAUUGUCAUUUUUAUUUUUUUUAUUUUUUUUUUUAUGUUUUCAUAUUAAAGAUUAACAUUUCAAACCCUCGUAUUCGCUUUUUUGUAUUUGUUUUUUUUUUUUUUAUUUUAUUUUUUAUUUUUUUGUUUUCAUUCUAAAAAAAAAAAAAAUUAUAUAUAUAAUGAAAUUCGAAAAUAUGUAGAAAGUUUAUCACACGCGAUAAUGUACAUAUAUAUGUAUAUAUAUACAUGUUAACAUUAUUUUAUUUUAAUUCACAAGAGUAAUUUUUUUUUUAUGUUAUCGGAAUUACUUACAAAGCUAUAACAAAAAUUAAAAAAUGAACAAAAACUAGCUAUUAAAAGACAAUAUUUUUUUACUAAAAACUUUUAUGCAAUUUUUGUUUUUAUAUUCUCCUUUUUUUUUUUUUUUUUUAUUGUUAAUUCAUUAAUUAAUACAGCUUAGUAUAUCUUAUCAUUACUAUUGUAAACACAUAUAUACAACUUACUAUUUAGGUGAAUAAAUAGAUACAAUAAAUAUACAGGAAAGAAAAAACAUAAAAGGGCCCCUAUGACACAAUUUAUUAUUUUAAUUUUUUUUUAAGUAAAAUGUUUAUUGUAAAAAGUAACAUACACAGUGAUAACACAUUGGAAACGAGCGCAAAAAAAGAGCAUGCUAAAAUAAAUAAAUUUAUAAUUUCAUUAAUUGUUAUACUUAAUAUAAUAAAUUUAUUGUUUACUUUUAUAUUAGCUAUAAAGUUUUUCAUUUGCUCAUAUAAUAUAACUGCUUUUCUAUUUCUUUUAACACAAACAUGUUUAUGGUCAUACCUAGCAAUCUUAAAUGUAUAUGACAAGAAAUACGUCUUUUCUGUUUCCUCAUUGUUUGGAAUUCAUUUAUAUAAACAAUGCUACCAAAACUAUAACAAGCUAUUCUUAUCAGAAGAAAUCCAAGAGUACCAUUUUAUGUCUGUUGCCCUUUCGCAUUUUCCUUUUCUAUACAUUUGUUAUGAUGUUUUUAUAUAUCAAUAUGACAGUGUUUUUAUAAAAAGUUCAUUAGAUUAUACCUACAAUGAUAAAUCUUUAAUAAUAUUAAAUUUUAUAAGAGGAAUAUUUUGUUCUUUAUCAAUUGCAAUAAUUUUUACAAUAUCCAUUGUAUUAAACAUACAAAAUACAUUUAGAACAUAUCCGUUACAGAAGUUGUUUGAUAGCAAAACAAAAAAAUAUCUUCGUAUGAAUAAAAAAACAACAUUUUAAUUGAACUGCG
rnacentral:lncRNA from 1 species